CCCGCUGAACUUAAGCAUAUCAAUAAGCGGAGGAAAAGAAACUAACAAGGAUUCCCUUAGUAGCGGCGAGCGAAGCGGGAAGAGCUCAAAUUUGAAAGCUGGCGUCCUUCGGGCUCCGAGUUGUAAUUUGUAGAAGAUGCUUCGGGUGUGGCUCCGGUCUAAGUUCCUUGGAACAGGACGUCAUAGAGGGUGAGAAUCCCGUACGUGACUGGUUGCCUUCGCCCAUGUGAAGCUCUUUCGACGAGUCGAGUUGUUUGGGAAUGCAGCUCAAAAUGGGUGGUAAAUUUCAUCUAAAGCUAAAUAUUGGCCAGAGACCGAUAGCGCACAAGUAGAGUGAUCGAAAGAUGAAAAGCACUUUGGAAAGAGAGUUAAACAGUACGUGAAAUUGUUGAAAGGGAAGCGCUUGCAACCAGACUUGCACGCUGCUGAUCAUCCGGGGUUCUCCCCGGUGCACUCGGUUGCGUUCAGGCCAGCAUCGGUUUGGGUGGUUGGAUAAAGGCCUUGGGAAUGUAGCUUCUUUCGGGGAGUGUUAUAGCCCUCGGUGCAAUGCAGCCUACCCGGACCGAGGACCGCGCUUCGGCUAGGAUGCUGGCGUAAUGGUUGUAAGCGACCCGUCUUGAAACACGG
rnacentral:rRNA from 1 species